AAGGCAGUUUCAUAUGUACAUUUUUACUUCAAGCAUGAACUUUUGAGACAUCAGGAAAAUUUGUAGAUUACUGUGUAGGUUAGUGUUAGCAACUGUUGCUAAGCUCGAGAACAUUCCUGUGUGUGUGCUGCCACACUGUGUCAUUAAUGGGAAUUGCACCUUUAUUUCACAGCUGCAGGCCAAAUUUGAACACCUCAAAAGAGUUCACCAAGAAGAGAGAAUGAAGCUUGAAGAGAAGAGAAGACUCUUGGAAGAAGAAAUAAUUGCUUUCUCAAAAAAGAAAGCUACCUCAGAGAUAUACCAGAACCAGUCCUACAUGGCAUCGGGCAGCAACCUGAAGAAGGACAAGGACCGUAAGAACUCCAAUUUUAUGUAAAACAAAGGUUCCAGAUCACAGAAGGUCAUCACAAGCAAAAAUUAUUAAAAUGUUAGAAGUAUA